rnacentral:rRNA from 1 species
GGUGAACGCUGGCGGCGUGCCUAAUACAUGCAAGUCGAGCGAACAGACGAGGAGCUUGCUCCUCUGCCGUUAGCGGCGGACGGGUGAGUAACACGUGGAUAACCUACCUAUAAUACUGGGAUAACUUCGGGAAACCGGAGCUAAUACCGGAUAAUAUAUUGUACCGCAGGGUGCAAUAGUGAAAGACGGUUUUGCUGUCACUUAUAGAUGGAUCCGCGCCGCAUUAGCUAGUUGGUAAGGUAACGGCUUACCAAGGCAACGAUGCGUAGCCGACUUGAGAGGGUGAUCGGCCACACUGGAACUGAGACACGGUCCAGACUCCUACGGGAGGCAGCAGUAGGGAAUCUUCCGCAAUGGGCGAAAGCCUGACGGAGCAACGCCGCGUGAGUGAUGAAGGUCUUCGGAUCGUAAAACUCUGUUAUUAGGGAAGAACAAAUGUGUAAGUAACUAUGCACGUCUUGACGGUACCUAAUCAGAAAGCCACGGCUAACUACGUG